CCUACGGGAGGCAGCAGCUAAGAAUCUUGCGCAAUGGGCGAAAGCCUGACGCAGCAACGCCGCGUGGGGGAGGAAGGCCUUCGGGUUGUAAACCCCUUUUGCGAGGGAAGAAGUUCUGACGGUACCUCGCGAAUAAGCCACGGCUAACUACGUGCCAGCAGCCGCGGUAAUACGUAGGUGGCAAGCGUUGUCCGGAUUCAUUGGGCGUAAAGCGCCCGCAGGCGGCUCGGCAAGUUUCAGGUGAAAUCUCCCGGCUCAACUGGGAGGGGUCCUGGAAAACUGCCGGGCUUGAGGCAGGGAGGGGGAUGCGGAAUUCCAGGUGUAGCGGUGAAAUGCGUAGAUAUCUGGAGGAACAUCAGCGGCGAAGGCGGCAUCCUGGCCCUGUCCUGACGCUCAGGGGCGAAAGCGUGGGGAGCAAACCGGAUUAGAUACCCCAGUAG
rnacentral:rRNA from 1 species